rnacentral:tRNA from 1 species
GUGGAAUUAGCUCAGUUGGUUAGAGUGCCAGGUUGUGGCCCUGGAAGUCGUGGGUUCGAAUCCCAUAUUCCACCCCA